AUUGGACGCUGGCGGCAUGCUUUACACAUGCAAGUCGAACGGUAACAGGGUGCUUGCACCGCUGACGAGUGGCGAACGGGUGAGUAAUGCGUCGGAACGUGCCGAGUAGUGGGGGAUAACGCAGCGAAAGUUGUGCUAAUACCGCAUACGUACUGAGGUAGAAAGUGGGGGACCUUCGGGCCUCACGCUAUUCGAGCGGCCGACGUCUGAUUAGCUAGUAGGUGAGGUAAAGGCUCACCUAGGCGACGAUCAGUAGCGGGUCUGAGAGGAUGAUCAGCCACACUGGGACUGAGACACGGCCCAGACUCCUACGGGAGGCAGCAGUGGGUAAUUUUGGACAAUGGGCGAAAGCCUGAUCCAGCCAUGCCGCGUGUCUGAAGAAGGCCUUCGGGUUGUAAAGGACUUUUGUCGGGGAGGAAAUCCCCAGCGUUAAUACCGCUGGGGGAUGACAGUACCUGAAGAAUAAGCACCGGCUAACUACGUGCCAGCCGCCGCCGUAA
rnacentral:rRNA from 1 species